GACGAACGCUGGCGGCGUGCUUAACACAUGCAAGUCGAACGGAAAGGCCCUGCUUUUGUGGGGUGCUCGAGUGGCGAACGGGUGAGUAACACGUGAGUAACCUGCCCUUGACUUUGGGAUAACUUCAGGAAACUGGGGCUAAUACCGGAUAGGAGCUCCUGCUGCAUGGUGGGGGUUGGAAAGUUUCGGCGGUUGGGGAUGGACUCGCGGCUUAUCAGCUUGUUGGUGGGGUAGUGGCUUACCAAGGCUUUGACGGGUAGCCGGCCUGAGAGGGUGACCGGCCAUAUUGGGACUGAGAUACGGCGCAGACUCGUACGGGAGGCAGCAGUGGGGAAUAGUGCACAAUGGGCGGAAGCCUGAUGCAGCAACGCCGCGUGCGGGAUGACGGCCUUCGGGUUGUAAACCGCUUUCGCCUGUGACGAAGCGUGAGUGACGGUAAUGGGUAAAGAAGCACCGGCUAACUACGUG
rnacentral:rRNA from 1 species